AGUCGAGUCCCGCCGGCCCCCGCGCGAAGAUGGGAGCCGGCCCGGUGUUUCACGCCAGCGCGUGGCCUCCGCCAGGGUGUCAGGCAGAGUGGAAGGAGAGGAGGAGAAGGGAAGUCGGGGACGUCGGUCAUGUCUAGGCGCUGGUGUUCUGGGGUGUCAGGCAGAGUGGAAGGAGAGGAGGAGAAGGGAAGUCGGGGACGUCGGUCAUGUCUAGGCGCUGGUGUUCUGGGGUGUCAGGCAGAGUGGAAGGAGAGGAGGAGAAGGGAAGUCGGGGACGUCGGUCAUGUCUAGGCGCUGGUGUUCUGGGGUGUCAGGCAGAGUGGAAGGAGAGGAGGAGAAGGGAAGUCGGGGACGUCGGUCAUGUCUAGGCGCUGGUGUUCUGGGUGCAGCCGCUGGCCCUGGCCCCAGGGGCACAAGUGAGACACACACCCCGCCCCCGUCCCGGGGCCAGGGACCAGUCACGACCACGUAGGUCAGGACCUGGCCCCAAGGAAAGACUCGGCCCACGGGAGCCCAGCUGACAACAUCUCCAGCCACCCACAAGCGUGCAACGAACGAAGGGGCAGGGAGCGAGUUUCCAC
rnacentral:lncRNA from 9 species